rnacentral:rRNA from 1 species
AAUGAACGUUGGCGGCGUGGAUUAGGCAUGCAAGUCGAGCGCUCAUCAGCAAUGGUGGGAGCGGCGAACGGCGUAGUAAUGUGUAGGAACGUACCCUCUGGUCGGGGAUAGCUACGGGAAACUGUAGGUAAUACCCGAUGAUCUCUGUGGAGCAAAGAUUUAUCGGCAAAGGAUCGGCCCGCGUUGGAUUAGGUAGUUGGUGGGGUAAUGGCCUACCAAGCCGACGAUCCAUAGCUGGUUUGAGAGGAUGAUCAGCCACACUGGGACUGAGACACGGCCCAGACUCCUACGGGAGGCAGCAGUGGGGAAUCUUAGACAAUGGGGGAAACCCUGAUCUAGCCAUGCCGCGUGAUCGAUGAAGGCCUUAGGGUUGUAAAGAUCUUUCAGAUGGGAAGAUAAUGACGGUACCAUCAGAAGAAGCCCCGGCUAAACUCCGUG